GACGAACGCUGGCGGCGUGCUUAACACAUGCAGGUCGAACGGAAAGGCCCUGCUUUUGUAGGGUGCUCGAGUGGCGAACGGGUGAGUAACACGUGAGUAACCUGCCCUUGACUUUGGGAUAACUUCAGGAAACUGGGGCUAAUACCGGAUAGGAGCUCCUGCUGCAUGGUGGGGGUUGGAAAGUUUCGGCGGUUGGGGAUGGACUCGCGGCUUAUCAGCUUGUUGGUGGGGUAGUGGCUUACCAAGGCUUUGACGGGUAGCCGGCCUGAGAGGGUGACCGGCCACAUUGGGACUGAGAUACGGCCCAGACUCCUACGGGAGGCAGCAGUGGGGAAUAUUGCACAAUGGGCGGAAGCCUGAUGCAGCAACGCCGCGUGCGGGAUGACGGCCUUCGGGUUGUAAACCGCUUUCGCCUGUGACGAAGCGUGAGUGACGGUAAUGGGUAAAGAAGCACCGGCUAACUACGUG
rnacentral:rRNA from 1 species